rnacentral:rRNA from 1 species
UACGGCGAGUGAACCGGGAUGAGCUCAAAUUUAAAAUCUGGCGUCUUUCAGGCGUCCGAGUUGUAAUCUAUAGAGGCGUUUUCCGCGCCGGACCGCGUCCAAGUCUCUUGGAAUAGAGUAUCAAAGAGGGUGACAAUCCCGUACUUGACGCGACAACCGGUGCUCUGUGAUACGUUCUCAAUGAGUCGAGUUGUUUGGGAAUGCAGCUCUAAAUGGGUGGUAAAUUCCAUCUAAGGCUAAAUAUUGGCGAGAGACCGAUAGCGAACAAGUACCGUGAGGGAAAGAUGAAAAGCACUUUGGAAAGAGAGUUAAACAGCACGUGAAAUUGUUAAAAGGGAAACGAUUGAAGUCAGUCGUGUGAAAGGUAUUCAGCCGUCUCUGGCGGUGUAUUUGCCUUUCACGGGUCAACAUCAGUUUGAUCCGGUAGAAAAAGGCGGGAGGAAGGUGGCACCCUCGGGUGUGUUAUAGCCUCCUGUCAUAUGUGCCGGACCAGACUGAGGAACGCAGCUUGCCGCAAGGCCGGGGUUCGCCCACGUACAAGCUUAGGAUGUUGACAUAAUGGCUUUAAACGACCCGUCUUGAA